rnacentral:rRNA from 1 species
CCUACGGGGUGCAGCAGUGAGGAAUAUUGGUCAAUGGCCGGAAGGCUGAACCAGCCAUGCCGCGUGAAGGUCAGUGCCCUAUGGGCGUUAAACUUCUUUUGUGCGGGAGCAAUAAUGGUCACGUGUGGCCAGACGAGAGUACCGUACGAAUAAGCAUCGGCUAACUCCGUGCCAGCAGCCGCGGUAAUACGGGGGAUGCAAGCGUUAUCCGGAUUUAUUGGGUUUAAAGGGUGCGUAGGCUGUGAGGUAAGUCAGCGGGGAAAUGCCCCCGCUCAACGGGGUGAAGUGCCAUUGAUACUGCCUUGCUGGAAUGCGGAUGCCGUGGGAGGAAUGUGUGGUGUAGCGGUGAAAUGCAUAGAUAUCACACAGAACACCGAUUGCGAAGGCAUCUCACGAAUCCGCGAUUGACGCUGAUGCACGAAAGCGUGGGUAUCAAACAGGAUUAGAUACCCUAGUAGUC